ACUGAUGACCCCUGAACAGAUUGUCAGUGCCCUUCCCAACUUCAUGUGUUUCUUUAUUUCAUUGCUCUUCCUCAUACAGCUUGCCCCCACACUCACAGCUUGGUGUGUAUAUUAUAACAAUGUGUUUCUUUAUUUCAUUGCUCCAGGUGUGUCAUGUUCACUCAUCAUUCACAGAUAUCCGGCCCUUCUUCAUACAGCUUGCCCCCCUCCCCUCAUUCACAGCUUGGUGUGUUGCUAUCAUUACUAUGUGAUUCCUUACUUCACUGAUGACCCCUGAACUUCAUGUGUUUCUUUAUUUCAUUGCUCCAGGUGUGUCAUAUUCACUCAUCAUUGACUGAUGACCCCUGAACAGAUUUCCGGCCCUUCUUCAUACAGCUUGUCUUCCACCUUCACAGUCAUGCUGUGUCAUAUUCACUCAUCAUUGACUGAUGACCCCUGAACAGAUUUCCGGCCCUUCUUCAUACACCUUGUCUUCCACCUUCACAGUCAUGGCACAACACUCAGGAGUGCUGUGAGUUGCAUGACACCUGCAGAGGCUCCAUACUACAACUACUCGGUACUACAGAAACCGGAUCACUUGACAAGCCUGUGUCCUGUUUUGGCCUUCCACACUCUGUAGGAUUGCAUAGGCUCCAUUUCUUCUCCCACAUCACCAUUCCAAAACAACUCCAGAUGUUUCGUUUGUAUUAUGGCCAGUUUCUUUACAUCUGUUACACUACCUGUGUUUUUGCACCCAAAACUGGACUGCUCUAUCUGUUUCUUGUUUUUUAUCAUUAUCACUUGCAUUGCUGUAAAUAUGUUCCAUUAGCUCAGUUUUGCAACUAUGAAGUGUACAGUUUUGUUGUUGUAUUACUGUUACGCUGAGCAAAAAGAAACCUCAAACCUUACUCUUAGGCCUAUGUGAAUUCUUCAUGCGUGUCGUGCUCUGUCAACAGUUUGAUGCUUACAAAGCAUUCCAAGUGUCUGUAUGAUGUUCUACCAUUAUGCUAUGCCUUCACACAGUUAAUAACAAAAGGUAUACAGUAUUAAAAAUGCAUAUUCACACUA